rnacentral:rRNA from 1 species
AGUGAACGCUGGCGGUAGGCCUAACACAUGCAAGUCGAACGGCAGCACAGUAAGGGCUUGCUCUUACGGGUGGCGAGUGGCGGACGGGUGAGGGAUACAUCGGAAUCUACUUUUUAGAGGGGGAUAACGUAGGGAAAAUUACGCUAUUACUGCAUACGACCUACGGGUGAAAGCAGGGGAUCUUCGGACCUUGCGCGAUUGAAUGAGCCGAUGUCGGAUUAGCUAGUUGGCGGGGUAAAGGCCCACCAAGGCGACGAUCCGUAGCUGGUCUGAGAGGAUGAUCAGCCACACUGGAACUGAGACACGGCCCAGACUCCUACGGGAGGCAGCAGUGGGGAAUUUUGGACAAUGGGCGCAAGCCUGAUCCAGCCAUACCGCGUGAGUGAAGAAGGCCUUCGGGUUGUAAAGCUCUUUUGGUAGGAAAGAAAAGCUGCAGGUUAAUACCGCGCGGUACUGACGGUACCCAAAGAAUAAGCACCGGCUAACUACGUG